rnacentral:rRNA from 1 species
CCUACGGGAGGCAGCAGUGAGGAAUAUUGGUCAAUGGACGAGAGUCUGAACCAGCCAAGUAACGUGAAGGAUGACUGCCCUAUGGGUUGUAAACUUCUUUUAUAUGGGAAUAAAACGUUCCACGUGUGGGAUUUUGUAUGUACCAUAUGAAUAAGGAUCGGCUAACUCCGUGCCAGCAGCCGCGGUAAUACGGAGGAUCCGAGCGUUAUCCGGAUUUAUUGGGUUUAAAGGGAGCGUAGGUGGAUUGUUAAGUCAGUUGUGAAAGUUUGCGGCUCAACCGUAAAAUUGCAGUUGAAACUGGCAGUCUUGAGUACAGUAGAGGUGGGCGGAAUUCGUGGUGUAGCGGUGAAAUGCUUAGAUAUCACGAAGAACUCCGAUUGCGAAGGCAGUUCACUGGACUGCAACUGACACUGAGGCUCGAAAGUGUGGGUAUCAAACAGGAUUAGAUACCCGAGUAGUC